CUCUCUCCUCCACAUCCUCUUGGGAUUAUCCUCCUUCCCAGACCCCUCCCUCCACUAGAUCCGCUGACCUCGCCAGACGGUGAGGUGGGAGGGGGGGCGAUCCCUGCUCCCACUUCAUAGUUGUAGGUUUUCUAGAACUCGGUGUUCCUUGAUGGGAUGGAGGCACCGUCGAUCUCCUCUCAUGGUCAUCCUCAGCAUGGUUGGUCUUCAUCUCGGGAUUCCUCGUCGACGACUUCUGCUGGGUUUGUCCCAAAGAUUUGAUAAGAUGUUUUGAAGUACUUGGUAGUGGAAACAACUCAAAUCCAAACACCCGCAAUGGUGUCAAUGUUUCGGCACAUGCCACUCAUCAAGAUCAGGUGAAUUCCGUAGAAGAAGAGCAUGAAAUUUUUAUGCCAAACAAACAAAUGAAAGAAAAUACUAGAAAUUUUGUUGAAGCUAUAGUGGAAGAGAAUGUUGACGUUCAUGGAGUUGAAGGUAUAGCUGUUUUUAAUGUGUACAUAAACUAUGAUCUAGGACUUUGCAAUCCACUUGAUAUAUUAACCCACGACAUUAGAUAUGAUGUUAUAUUUUCUUAUCUACAAAGGGCCCAACUCGACCAGAUAUCCACAAUUGCCCCCCAAAUGGGGAUGAAAGGUGCUUCCGGCCACAAUGGUUUAAGUAGUUUGAUUGGCUAGAAUAUAGUGUACAAAAUUAUAAGACUUAUUGCUUCUAUUGUUAUCUUUUUAAGCAUGCUGAAUGGAUGAAAACUUUCGUCAUGUUGUCUUCUCCAAAUCGGGUUUUGGCUGUUGGAAAAGUUUUCAGUUGUGUCAUUCUGGGAAAUGGGAUUGGUCACGAAUGUGGGAACACAUUUGAUCAAUUUAAGAAAUGAUGGUUGGGAGUCACCCUUGGAAGAUGUCAAAGUAUUUUAUGCAAACAAUAACAUUACAGUACUAAAUAUGGAUGCCAUCUUUCCAAAAUUGUGAAUCAAGAAAUUGUGGAUCAACAAUGUCAUUGCUGAUCAUUUUUUCGUGUGGACACCUGCUAUGUUGCUAUAGACUCCAUCACAAUGGAUUUUGAUCAUCGUUUUAAUGAGGGCACAUCAUGUUUCCUAUGGUUUAUUGCCACAUUGAGUUGGCAUUGCUACUACCGGUAAUGACGGCAACAUUUGAAAGGGUCUUCUCGGCAAAGAAAACCAUCAAGACCGAGUUUCGCAGCAAGAUGUCCUUUUUCUGGCUUAGUGAUUUGAUGGUAUGUUACAUUGAGCGAGGUAUAUUCAAAAUUCUUGAUCGUGGUAAAAUUAAGGAAGAUUAAGGAUGGCACGACAUUGACAUUGCCUACAUCUUCUAGACAUCAUUGAAAGUUUCAUCAUCGGUUGAUUAUCAAGUAAAAGUUCUCGUUGUGUUGCGUUAGUGGGAUUUGAUAUGCCUUGUGGAAAAUAUUUUAGGUUAUGUUUGCACAUGCUUGGGAUUUAUUAUAGUUGGUGAGAAUUGAUUACAAAAAUAUGAUUUAUAUGCCCACAUAUGAAUCUCAGAGGUUUAUAAGCAAAAUUUGACACUCAGGUUUGAUAUUUUUAAUAGCUACAUACAUGUUCUUUUACUUGUUUGGGUUUACAUCUUUGGGGUUAGCCAUAGUUGGUAAAAUUUUAUAAGAAUGACAUCCUAAAUCCAUGGUAAUUAUUUAGGUAUUGACUAGCAAAAGAGCCAGUGUGUUGCAAUGGCCAUGAUCACAUUUUGAUGCAUCACCGAGAUACACUAUCACUCUCAAUUUCACGAAAUCAUAAACAAUUUUUAAAAUCAUGAAUAAUUUUUUUUAAACUCGUGCACAUAUUUGAAAUUGUGAAAAAAAAUACUAUUACAAAUUUCCAAACAUUUUAUAAAAUCAAGAAU